AAAUUGAAGAGUUUGAUCAUGGCUCAGAUUGAACGCUGGCGGCAGGCCUAACACAUGCAAGUCGAACGGUAGCAGAAAGAAGCUUGCUUCUUUGCUGACGAGUGGCGGACGGGUGAGUAAUGUCUGGGAAACUGCCCGAUGGAGGGGGAUAACUACUGGAAACGGUAGCUAAUACCGCAUAACGUCUUCGGACCAAAGAGGGGGACCUUCGGGCCUCUUGCCAUCGGAUGUGCCCAGAUGGGAUUAGCUAGUAGGUGGGGUAACGGCUCACCUAGGCGACGAUCCCUAGCUGGUCUGAGAGGAUGACCAGCCACACUGGAACUGAGACACGGUCCAGACUCCUACGGGAGGCAGCAGUGGGGAAUAUUGCACAAUGGGCGCAAGCCUGAUGCAGCCAUGCCGCGUGUAUGAAGAAGGCCUUCGGGUUGUAAAGUACUUUCAGCGGGGAGGAAGGGGGUGAGGUUAAUAA
rnacentral:rRNA from 1 species